rnacentral:rRNA from 1 species
UACGUAGGGGGCAAGCGUUGUCCGGAAUCAUUGGGCGUAAAGCGCGUGUAGGCGGCUAGGUAAGUCUGCUCUGAAAGCCCGGGGCUCAACCCCGGGAGGCGGGUGGAUACUGUCCAGCUCGAGUCCGGAAGAGGAGUGUGGAAUUCCUGGUGUAGCGGUGAAAUGCGCAGAUAUCAGGAGGAACACCAAUGGCGAAGGCAGCACUCUGGGACGUGACUGACGCUGAGACGCGAAAGCGUGGGGAGCAAACAGG